rnacentral:rRNA from 1 species
AUCAGAGUGACUCCACCUCAGUCAGAACGCUUUAGAGUUCUGAUCAUGGGACGAUUGAACGCUGGCGGCAUGCCUUACACAUGCAAGUCGAACGGCAGCACGCAAUCCUGGUGGCGAGUGGCGAACGGGUGAGUAAUAUAUCGGAACGUGCCCAGUAGUGGGGGAUAGCCCGGCGAAAGCCGGAUUAAUACCGCAUGAGACCUGAGGGUGAAAGCGGGGGAUCGCAAGACCUCGCGCUAUUGGAGCGCCGAUAUCAGAUUAGCUAGUUGGUGGGGUAAAGGCCUACCCAACGAUCUGUAGUUGGUCUGAGAGGACGACCAGCCACACUGGGACUGAGACACGGCCCAGACUCCUACGGGAGGCAGCAGUGGGGAAUUUUGGACAAUGGGCGCAAGCCUGAUCCAACAAUGCCGCGUGCAGGAAGUCUCCUUCGGGUUGUAAACUGCUUUGUCAGGGAAGAAAUCCUCUGGGUUAAUACCUCGCAGGAUGACGGUACCUGAAGAAUAAGCACCGGCUAACUACGUGCCAGCAGCCGCGGUAAUACGUAGGGUGCGAGCGUGAAUCGGAAUUACUGGGCGUAUCCGUGCCCAGGCGGCUACAUAGCAGAUCUGUGAAAUCGACGUGCUCAACCUGGGAACUGCAUUUGUGACUGCAAGGCUAGAGUACGGCAGAGACGGAUGGAAUUCCGCGUGUAGCAGUGAAAUGCGUAGAUAUGCCUCGAACACCGAUGGCGAAGGCAAUCCCCUGAACCUGUACUGACGCUCAUGCACGAAAGCGUGAGCAAACAGGAUUAGAUACCCUGGUAGUGUGGCCCUAAACGAUGUCAACUGGUUGUUGGACGGCUUGCUGAGUAACGAAGCAACGCGUGAAGUUGACCGCCUGGGGAGUACGGCCGCCACUUGAAACUCAAAGGAAUUGACGCAGACCCGCACAAGCGGUGGAUGAUGUGGUUCGAUUACGGAUGCAACGCGAAGCACCUGAUUACCCUUGACAUGCUAGCUGACUGCAGAGAUGUGCAGUGCAUAUCAGAGCUAGAGUGGUGCUGCAUGGCCGUCGUCCUACGUGUCGUGAGAUGUUGGGUUAAGUCUAGCAACGAGCGCAACCCUUGUCAUUAGUUGCUACGAAGGGCACUCUAAUGAGACUGCCGGUGACAAACCGGAGGUGGGGAUGACGUCAGGUCCUCAUGGCCCUUAUGGGUAGGGCUACACACGAGAUACAAUGGCCGGUACAGAGGGCUGCCAACCCGCGAGGGAGCCAAUCCCAGAAAACCGGUCGUAGUCCGGAUCGCAGUCUGCAACUCGACUGCGUGAAGUCGGAAUCGCUAGUAAUCGCGGAUCGCUUGCCGCGGUGAAUACGUUCCCGGGUCUUGUACACACCGCCCGUCACACCAUGGGAGCCCUUCUGCCAGAAGUAGUUAGCCUAACCGCAAGGAGCUAAUUACCACGGCAGGGUUCGUGACUGGCGGUGAAGUCGUGAACAAGCGUGUCCGAGUAACGAU